UGUUUGUGAGGACUCACGAUUGCGGCGCCGGCGGCGAGCACCCCCCUUGGGGGAGCUACGAGUGCCCCUGAGGAAGCUGGUGCCAAACCGAGCCAGGAGCUUUGACAUCUGUCUGGAGAAGCGGAGGCUGACCAAGAGGCCCAAGAGCUUGGACACAGCCCGUGGCAUGUCUCUGUAUGAGGAGGUCUUCGAGAGGAGCUGGCCCAGAAGGCACUGUUGGUGUCUGUGUGGGACUAUGACCUGGGCACAGCUGAUGAUUUCAUUGGUGGGGUGCAGCUGAGUGGCAGAUCCAGUGGGGACCGCCUACGCCACUGGUGUGAGUGCCUAAGCCACUGUGACCGCCGGCUAGAACUGUGGCACCUGCUGGACAGUGUGCCCCCCCAACUUGGUGACUAGUCAGCACAGGGCCCUGCUUGCAACUUGUUCAGGGGCCAAGAUGUCUGCUGCAUCUACAAAGAGUUCUGGGUUGGUCCCAUCUGCUAUGCUAUGCACAUUCUUGUCUCCUUCCACUCAUGCAACCCCAAACACAAGCAAAAUAAACACCUGCUUCUGCCA
rnacentral:lncRNA from 1 species